GGUGCCCACCGUGGCUGUCACAACGUGCAGGGCCUCUUGGAAGGACCGCCUCACUGUGCCUACCCACUGAGUCAUGUGCGUCUGGGCCACCGAGAGUUUGUCGCCCAGGUGGGGGGAAAUGGCAGCUCUGAGAGGCGGGUUCAUGUCUCUGAGGUCACACACAGCAAGAAGGUUCUCCAGGUUUGCUCGGGAGAGCUCCCUCUCCAUUGCGUGUGCAGGUCGGACCCUGGACCUGGCCCACUGUGAGGGCUCAAAAAUAUUGACUUUCCAAAUGCCAGGCCAAACCCAAGGUUGAAAUCCACAUCGGCUCAACUGCCUGGUACGAUCUCUACACCACCCCCUCGCUCUGUCCCGAAUAAAUAUUUGCUCUCA